UGAGUAAAGUGGCGUACGGGUGAGUAACACGUGGGUAAUCUACCUUUUAGUGAGGAAUAACGAUGGGAAACCGUCGCUAAUACCGCAUAAGCCCGAGAGGGGAAAGUCGAAAGACGCUGAAAGAGGAGCCCGCGGCCGAUUAGCUAGUUGGUGAGGUAAGAGCCCACCAAGGCAGAGAUCGGUAGCCGGCCUGAGAGGGCACACGGCCACACUGGCACUGGAACACGGGCCAG
rnacentral:rRNA from 1 species